GGAUAUAGCUCAGUUGGUUGAGUGCUUGCCUUGCAAGCACAAGGCCCUGAGUUCGAUACGCAGCACCA
rnacentral:tRNA from 1 species